rnacentral:rRNA from 1 species
AACAAACGCUGGCGGCGUGCCUAAUACAUGCAAGUCGAACGGGGAAAGCCUUCGGGUGAGUACUAGUGGCGCACGGGUGAGUAACGCGUGGAUAAUCUGCCCUCGAAUGGGGAAUAACUAGUCGAAAGAUUAGCUAAUACCGCAUAAGACCACGACUACUGAGGUAGUUGGGGUCAAAGGAGCAAUUCGCUUGAGGAUGAGUCCGCGUAAGAUUAGCUAGUUGGUGAGGUAAUGGCUCACCAAGGCGAUGAUCUUUAACUGGUCUGAGAGGAUGAUCAGUCACACUGGAACUGAGAUACGGUCCAGACUCCUACGGGAGGCAGCAGUAGGGAAUAUUGGACAAUGGGGGCAACCCUGAUCCAGCGACGCCGCGUGAGCGAUGAAGGCCUUCGGGUCGUAAAGCUCUGUUGUAAGGGAAAAAGUUCUGAUUGUACCUCACGAGAAAGGAUCGGCUAACUUCGUGCCAGCCGCCGCGGUAA